rnacentral:lncRNA from 1 species
UGUGAUUGAAUGCAUGUUAAUGGCGACUUGUUUGAAUUUGACCACUGCCUUUUCUCCAAGCUUUUGUAGAGAGAUCUCAGCUCAAGAUAUGGAGCAGGGAAGAUGGGGGUGAGUCCACCCAAUUUGAUAAACACAUGCUCCUUUUGAACUGGGACGCAACCCAAUCUGCAGCUCUAUUUGCUUCUCUUUUGAUAUGAACAAACCUAGUACUGUCAAACUUCUGUACCAAUCCAG